rnacentral:rRNA from 1 species
AACGCUGGCGGCGUGCCUAAUACACGCAAGUAGAAACGCUGAAGAGAGGAGCUUGCUCUUCUUGGAAGAGUUUGCGAACGGGUGAGUAACGCGUAGGUAACCUGCCUUGUAGCGGGGGAUAACUAUUGGAAACGAUAGCUAAUACCGCAUAACAAUAGGUGACACAUGUCAUUUAUUUGAAAGGGGCAAUUCGCUCCACUACAAGAUGGACCUGCGUUGUAUUAGCUAGUAGGUGAGGUAACGGCUCACCUAGGCGACGAUACAUAGCCGACCUGAGAGGGUGAUCGGCCACACUGGGACUGAGACACGGCCCAGACUCCUACGGGAGGCAGCAGUAGGGAAUCUUCGGCAAUGGGGGCAACCCUGACCGAGCAACGCCGCGUGAGUGAAGAAGGUUUUCGGAUCGUAAAGCUCUGUUGUAAGUCAAGAACGAGUGUGAGAGUGGAAAGUUCACACUGUGACGGUAGCUUACCAGAAAGGGACGGCUAACUACGUGCCAGCAGCCGCGGUAAUACGUAGGUCCCGAGCGUUGUCCGGAUUUAUUGGGCGUAAAGCGAGCGCAGGCGGUUUGAUAAGUCUGAAGUUAAAGGCUGUGGCUCAACCAUAGUUCGCUUUGGAAACUGUCAAACUUGAGUGCAGAAGGGGAGAGUGGAAUUCCAUGUGUAGCGGUGAAAUGCGUAGAUAUAUGGAGGAACACCGGUGGCGAAAGCGGCUCUCUGGUCUGUAACUGACGCUGAGGCUCGAAAGCGUGGGGAGCGAACAGGAUUAGAUACCCUGGUAGUCCACGCCGUAAACGAUGAGUGCUAGGUGUUGGAUCCUUUCCGGGAUUCAGUGCCGCAGCUAACGCAUUAAGCACUCCGCCUGGGGAGUACGACCGCAAGGUUGAAACUCAAAGGAAUUGACGGGGGCCCGCACAAGCGGUGGAGCAUGUGGUUUAAUUCGAAGCAACGCGAAGAACCUUACCAGGUCUUGACAUCCCGAUGCUAUUUCUAGAGAUAGAAAGUUACUUCGGUACAUCGGUGACAGGUGGUGCAUGGUUGUCGUCAGCUCGUGUCGUGAGAUGUUGGGUUAAGUCCCGCAACGAGCGCAACCCCUAUUGUUAGUUGCCAUCAUUCAGUUGGGCACUCUAGCGAGACUGCCGGUAAUAAACCGGAGGAAGGUGGGGAUGACGUCAAAUCAUCAUGCCCCUUAUGACCUGGGCUACACACGUGCUACAAUGGUUGGUACAACGAGUUGCGAGUCGGUGACGGCAAGCUAAUCUCUUAAAGCCAAUCUCAGUUCGGAUUGUAGGCUGCAACUCGCCUACAUGAAGUCGGAAUCGCUAGUAAUCGCGGAUCAGCACGCCGCGGUGAAUACGUUCCCGGGCCUUGCACACACCGCCCGUC